GCCACGGUCGCAUAACCCGGUAGUGCGGCAGUCUCGAAAACUGCUGUCCGCAAGGACUUCUCGGUUCAAAUCCGAGCCGUGGCG
rnacentral:tRNA from 1 species